CCUACGGGUGGCAGCAGUAGGGAAUAUUGCUCAAUGGGGGAAACCCUGAAGCAGCAACGCCGCGUGGAGGAUGAAGGUUUUAGGAUUGUAAACCUCUUUUGUCGGGGAGCAAAAAGGCCUCGUGAGGCCACAAGUGAGAGUACCCGAAGAAAAAGCAUCGGCUAACUCCGUGCCAGCAGCCGCGGUAAUACGGAGGAUGCGAGCGUUAUCCGGAUUUAUUGGGUUUAAAGGGUGCGUAGGCGGACUGGAAAGUCAGCGGUAAAAUCGAGAGGCUCAACCUCUUUCCGCCGUUGAAACUGGCGGUCUUGAGUGGGCGAGAAGUAUGCGGAAUGCGUGGUGUAGCGGUGAAAUGCAUAGAUAUCACGCAGAACUCCGAUUGCGAAGGCAGCAUACCGGCGCCCGACUGACGCUGAGGCACGAAAGCGUGGGUAUCGAACAGGAUUAGAUACCCUAGUAGUC
rnacentral:rRNA from 1 species